GCCAGUGUGGCAUACUGGUUUGAGUAUUGGACUAUGACUCUGGACAUCAGGGUUCAAAUCCCCACUGGGC
rnacentral:tRNA from 1 species